rnacentral:lncRNA from 1 species
GAAUUCUUGCAAACAUUUGUGAUGCUCAUUCUUUUUUUGCUGUGCUCUGACUAAUAAAGUUCUUUUUCUCUCACUUAGAUGUCUUGUGUCUUUUUCUAGCAUCUGUGAAACACUGUUAGUGUUAUCAAGCUAAUUUGUUGGCUUGUAAGUAGGAUAAAAUCAAAUCACAGACCUGACAGUUUUGACUGAACAGAACAACAUAUCAGAAUUGUGUAUAGGCCUGUAAGACUAGCACUCACACAAGAGAUCCAUGUAUAUAUCCUACAUUUUAUUUAACAAAUACGUACUUAAGGCAGGUAUUACCUUAGGAGUUUAUAAACUUAUUUAAGCCAUAAGGUAGGCACUCUCAAAAAUCCAGGAGUUCCCUGGUGGCACAGCAGUUAAGGGCAUGGGUUCAAUCUCUGGCUGGGUUCAGUCUCUGGCUGGGGAACUUCUGCAUGCCAUGGAUGUGGCCAAAAAGUAAAUAAAAAUCCACACGAGGAAGAAGAGGCGCAAAGAUGUUAAGUAACUUGCUCCAAGUCAUGAAUCUCAGAAGUGUCCAAGCCCCAUUAAAAAACAGAAACACGAACAACCUGGCCACAGCAUCCAUUGAUCCAUUGUGUCAUGCUAACUCGUGCUUAUGUAUUAGGAAGGGAGGGGCAGAGAAGAGAGAAAUGACAAAGGUAAAUAUUGUUGAAAUCAUCAGAGUCUAAUUGGAGCUGUAGCCGCCAGUCUAUGCCAUAGCCACAGCAAUGCCAGAUCUGAGCUGCAUCUGCAACCUACACCAUGGCUCACAGCGACGCCAGAUCUUUAACCCACUGAUGGAGGCCAGGGAUUGAACCCACAACCUCAUGGUUUCUAGUCAGAUUCAUUAACCACUGAGUCACGAGGGGAACUCUCAAGAGUUUUUUAUUCCUAACAUCGUGAUGUAGUUUUUGGGGUUUCAUUGUGUCCUGGAAGGUUAAUCCCUACCAGGCAUGUUGAUAAAUGAUUUGAUUUGGUGUUUUAUAUUUGGCUUGUUAGGAUUUGAUUUAGAAAAUUUGCUCUAUAUUCAGACUGAAUGUAAAAAACAUUGUCCACACAAAAAUCUGCACAUGAAGUUUGUAGCAGCUUUAUUCAUAGUUGCCAAAACUUGGAAGCAAGAUGUCCUUCAGUAAGUGGAUAAACUGGCAUAUCCAGGCAAUGGAAGAUUAUUCAAUGCUGAAAAGAAAUGAGUCAUUAAACCAUGUAAAUUUGUGAGGGGGUGGGGGUAUUAAAUGCAUAUUACUAAGUAAUCGAGGCCAGUCUGAAAAGGUUAUAUACUGUAUGAUUCCUGUUAUAUGACAGUCUGGAAAAGGCAAAACUAUGGAGACAAUUAAAAAAAAAAAUCUGUGUUUGCAGGGGGCAGGGAGGGUUGAAUAGGCAGAACACAGGAUUUUCAGGGCAUUGGAGCUAUUCUCUAUGACGCUAUAAUGGAUACACAUCGUUAUACAUUUGUCCAAACCCACAGAAUGCACAACACUGAGUGAACCUUAAGGUAAACUAUGGACUUUGGUUAGUAGCGAUGCAUCAGCGUAGUUUCAUUUAUUUUAACAUGGGUACCACCCCUGGUGGGUGAUGUCCGUAGUGGAGGAGAUUAUGUGUCCGUGGAGACAGUGGGUAUAUGGGACUUCUCUGUACUCUCUGCUCAGUUUUGCUGUGAACCUAAACAUGCUCUGAAAAAUAAAGUCUGUCUUUAAAAAUGCUUUGAAAAUUACACUGUACUCUAAAAUGUAAAUAGUGUGAGUAUAUAUAGUAAUUUCUUGUAAACUUCACUCUGUACCUAUUGAAGUCCCUAUGUCCUUGGCCCCAUCUUUCUGCCUGUCACCUCCUCUUCUUAGCAUAAAUGGCUUGGCCCUCUACUUGGGCUCUCUUCCUCUGCUCUGUUGACCUUUUGACCCUUUCCAACCCAAGUUCAAUCCAGCUGCUACAUCGGGGCUGCAGACCUCUGCCAGAGAAAAUUCAUGAUGGUGAAGCUGCUGUCUGCAGUAUAAUUGCAGUUUCCACCAUUAGCUCAUCCCUCAGAGCUUCCUGCAGCCAUGAUUCUCAAAUCAGAGUUUUCUACUCCAAAUGUGUAUCAGUACCUUUAAACUAUAAUUUUUUAUUGCACAGUUUUGAAUACAUAUUUUCAAAGUCUUAUGCCAUUUCUUCCUAUGUCUCAUAUAUUAUGAUGUGUCAAUUUUUUGUACAUAUAAAAAUUGGAUUCGCAUUAUUAAGCUGUUUUCUACUAAAAAUAGUUGAUAUAAUCUGGCUACUAAUUAUCACAUACAGAACUAUGGCAGAUAAGCAUAUCUGUCAAGAAAGAUUUGCCCCAAGGUGCUUCUCCAUUAGGAAAGAGGAAAAUAAAUGAAAAGAAGUGGGUUAAUAUGUUUAGAGUUGCUUUAACUAUUGAGUUCCUGUUGUGGCUCAGUGGUUAACCCAACUAGCAUCCAUGAGGAUGCAGGUUCGAUCCCUAGCCUCGCUCAGUGGGUUAAGGAUCCAGCAUUGCCAUGAGCUUGAAUGAGCUGUGGUGUAGGCACAGAUGCAGCUCGGAUCCCAUGUUGCUGUGGCUCUGGUGUAGGCCUGUAGCUACAGCUCCCAUUUGACCCCUAGUCUGGGUACCUCCACAUGCCUUGG